CNUCGGAGCAAAGAGGGGGACCUUCGGGCCUCUCGCGNCANGAUUAGCCCAGGUGGGAUUAGCUAGUUGGUGGGGUAACGGCUCACCAAGGCGACGAUCCCUAGCUGGUCUGAGAGGAUGAUCAGCCACACUGGAACUGAGACACGGUCCAGACUCCUACGGGAGGCAGCAGUGGGGAAUAUUGCACAAUGGGGGAAACCCUGAUGCAGCCAUGCCGCGUGUGUGAAGAAGGCCUUCGGGUUGUAAAGCACUUUCAGUCGUGAGGAAGGGUGUGCAGUUAAUAGCUGUACAUUUUGACGUUAGCGACAGAAGAAGCACCGGCUAACUCCGUGCCAGCAGCCGCGGUAAUACGGAGGGUGCGAGCGUUAAUCGGAAUUACUGGGCGUAAAGCGCAUGCAGGCGGUCUGUUAAGCAAGAUGUGAAAGCCCGGGGCUCAACCUCGGAACAGCAUUUUGAACUGGCAGACUAGAGUCUUGUAGAGGGGGGUAGAAUUUCAGGUGUAGCGGUGAAAUGCGUAGAGAUCUGAAGGAAUACCGGUGGCGAAGGCGG
rnacentral:rRNA from 1 species